rnacentral:rRNA from 1 species
UACGUAGGCAGCGAGCGUUGUUCGGAAUUACUGGGCGUAAAGAGUGUGUAGGCGGUGCUCUAAGUUCGGUGUGAAAUCUCCCGGCUUAACUGGGAGGGUGCGCCGGAAACUGGAGUGCUCGAACGUGGGAGAGGAAAGCGGAAUUCCUGGUGUAGCGGUGAAAUGCGUAGAUAUCCGGAAGAACACCGGUGGCGAAGGCGGCCCGCUGGGAUACUUGCUGACGCUGAGGCGCGACAGCGUGGGGAGCAAACAGG